UCCAGUCCACGCCCGAGGGGAAUAUCCGUCUCGUGGACCCGAGUGAGUCCGACCCCCGCGCCCAGGGUCGGGCGAGACGGAGUUUCUGUGGUGGGGGUCGGGCGCUCCCGACCCCAGUUCCCUGGGUUGGGCGAGACGGAACUUUGCGGCGAGGGGUCGGGCGCUCCCGACCCUGGGACCGCGGUCGGGCGAGGCGGAGUCCCUCCAUCGAGGGGUCGGGAUUGUCCGACCCCGGGGCCCUGGGUCGGGCGAGACGGAGUGGGAUGCUCUCUGCCUUCACUUGGCCGGAUGUAAUCAUAAUUACCGCAGGUGGGCCUGGGCCUUCAUGACUGUUGCUUUAAGCGGUAUUAGGAGGUCGUUAAUAUUUUCCCCCGACAGUAGCCCCCGAGCCUGUGGUGGAGCAAAGGUGCUCCUCCAGAGGCUUUUUUCAUUGCUCGUCGGGGAUCUCUGCUCGCCCUGCAAGCUGCGGUCGAUCAGGGGUAGGGAGUGUUGUUGGUCCGGCUUGGCCAGUGAGUUCGAUCAGGAGAGGCAUCCUGUGGAUGACUUGUUGCGGGAGGACUCCUCAUUUCUCCAUAGGGCGCUCCCGCCUCGAGUCCUCAAAUCGCGACCACACGCGUGGUCACUGGUUGCGACGCUAGCCCCCGAGCCCCCGCGCGUUGCAGGAGACCGAUCGGGAGGCUAGAUCGGCUUUUGAUCGUUACCCCUCAAGCGUCCAUUCGCUGGGACAGAGGGGAUGAGCCGUGCCACGCUAUCCUCGUUGGACGA
rnacentral:lncRNA from 1 species